GAUGAAGAACGUAGCGAAAUGCGAUAAGUAGUGUGAAUUGCAGAAUUCAGUGAAUCAUCGAAUCUUUGAACGCACAUUGCGCCUCCUGGUAUUCCGGGAGGCAUGCCUGUUCGAGCGUCAUUAAAAUCACUCAAGCUUAGGUUUGCCUAUUGCUUGGUCUUGAAGAUGGAAGCUAAGUAAUUAGAAUCCUCUUCGAAAUCCAAUGGCGAAGACCCUUGCUCUCCCAAGUGUAGUAAUAACUUAUUCACUGAAGGAAGCGAGUAAUCUUCCGCCGUAACCCCCAUCUUUUCUAUGAUUGACCUCGGAUCAGGUAGGGAUACCCGCUGAACUUAAGCAUAUCAAUAAGCGGAGGA
rnacentral:misc_RNA from 1 species